UGGUUCUGGCAUCGAUGAAGAACGCAGCGAAAUGCGAUAAGUAAUGCGAAUUGCAGAAUCCGUGAGUCAUCGAAUCUUUGAACGCAUAUUGCGCCCUCUGGUAUUCCGGGGGGCAUGCCUGUUCGAGCGUCAUUAUCACCCCCAAGCCCGGCUUGUUGUUGGACGUCGGCGGCGGCCUUCAGUGGCGUACCGCCCGUCUCAAAGAUAAUGACGGCGUCUGUGAGGAUACCUGUACAUUGAGCUUUCGGGCACGUACUAGGCUAACACUCGCAGACCCGGUCUUUAGGGCUCGCUUCGGCGGCCCAACUUUUCUAAGGUUGACCUCGGAUCAGGUAGGAAUACCCGCUGA
rnacentral:misc_RNA from 1 species